rnacentral:rRNA from 1 species
AUGGAUCAGCCAGAUGGUUUUGUAGUACCUGGUCAAGAAGGAAAGGUGUGCAAGUUAUUAAAAUCUUUAUAUGGCCUUAAACAAGCUCCUAAGGAGUGGCAUGAGAAGUUCGAAAGAACAUUAACUGCUGGCGGCUUUGUAGUAAAUGAUGGUGACAAGUGCGUGUACUAUCGCUAUGGUGGGGGCGAAGGAGUUAUUCUUUGUCUGUAUGUCGACGACAUAUUGAUCUUUGGAACCAAACUUGAGUUAAUCAAGGAGGUUAAGGAUUUCUUAUCUCGCUGUUUUGAGAUGAAGGAUCUAGGAGUAGCUGAUGUUAUCUUAAACAUCAAGCUGUUCAGAGAUGAGAAUGGUGGGAUCACACUGCUUCAGUCUCAUUAUGUGGAAAAGGUCUUGAGUCGUUUUGGGUAUAGCGACUGCACGCCUUCUCCAACUCCAUAUGAUGCUAGUGUGUUGCUUCGAAAGAAUCGACGGAUUGCUAGAGAUCAACUGAGAUAUUCUCAGAUUAUUGGCUCGCUUAUGUAUUUGGCGAGUGCCACGAGGCCUGACAUCUCUUUUGCUGUGAGCAAGCUGAGUCGGUUUGUGUCAAAACUGGGAGAUGAUCAUUGGCAUGCGCUUGAGAGAGUUAUGCGCUAUUUGAAAGGCACCGCGAGCUAUAGGAUUCACUACACCGGGUAUCCAAAGGUACUGGAGGGUUAUAGUGACUCAAACUGGAUAUCUGAUGCUGAUGAGAUUAAGGCCACAAGUGGUUAUGUUUUUUCACUUGGUGGUGGCGCUGUUUCCUGGAAGUCUUGCAAGCAGACCAUCUUAACAAGGUCAACUAUGGAAGCAGAACUCACAGCACUAGACACUGCCAUUGUUGAAGCAGAGUGGCUUCGGGAACUCUUGAUGGACUUACCUAUGGUUGAAAAACCAAUACCCCCUAUCCUGAUGAACUGUGAUAAUCAAACUGUGAUUGUCCAGAUAAACAGUUCUAAGGACAAUAUGAAGUCCUCAAGGCAUGUGAAGAGGAGACUAAAAUCUGUCAGAAAAUUGAGGAACUCCGGAGUUAUUACGUUGGAUUAUAUC